rnacentral:misc_RNA from 1 species
GCCGCGUGUAUGAAGAAGGCCUUCGGGUUGUAAAGUACUUUCAGCGAGGAGGAAGGCGUUAAGGUUAAUAACCUUGGCGAUUGACGUUACCCGCAGAAGAAGCACCGGCUAACUCCGUGCCAGCAGCCGCGGUAGAUGACCAGCCACACUGGAACUGAGACACGGUCCAGACUCCUACGGGAGGCA